UACGUAGGGUGCAGGCGUUAAUCGGAAUUACUGGGCGUAAAGCGUGCGCAGGCGGUCUUUUAAGUCAGAUGUGAAAUCCCCGGGCUUAACCUGGGAACUGCGUUUGAAACUGGAAGGCUAGAGUGUGGCAGAGGGGGGUGGAAUUCCCAGUGUAGAGGUGAAAUUCGUAGAUAUUGGGAAGAACACCGGUGGCGAAGGCGGCCAUCUGGACCGCAACUGACGCUGAGGCGCGAAAGCGUGGGGAGCAAUCAGG
rnacentral:rRNA from 1 species